rnacentral:rRNA from 1 species
UACCAGCACCCCGAGUGGUCGGGACGUUUAUUGGGCCUAAAGCAUCCGUAGCCGGUUCUACAAGUCUUCCGUUAAAUCCACCUGCUUAACAGAUGGGCUGCGGAAGAUACUAUAGAGCUAGGAGGCGGGAGAGGCAAGCGGUACUCGAUGGGUAGGGGUAAAAUCCGUUGAUCCAUUGAAGACCACCAGUGGCGAAGGCGGCUUGCCAGAACGCGCUCGACGGUGAGGGAUGAAAGCUGGGGGAGCAAACGGG